rnacentral:lncRNA from 1 species
CAGAGGACAGGUUUGUCUGAGGACACGAUCCACAUAUGGUUUCAGAACAGAAGAGCGAGGCAAGCCCGCGCUCCAGAUCAAGAUGUGCCUGCUUCACAAGUGCAGGAUGUGGCAACUGGAGGUCUCAGUGGCAGGGAUGAGGCAGCACAGGACAACCUGUUACCGAUGGCUGCUGCAGGAGGUGUGGGCAUGGAGAACUCGAGCUCCAGCGACCAGCCCCACUUCCACAAAGAGUCCCAGCAACCCCAAGUGGCACUGCCCGAAGGACGAGGCCAAUCACAGACAGCCACUCAAGCAUACGAGCCAGGAACUCUGGAACUCCUCCUUGAUGAACUGCUGGAAAAAGACCAAGUGGAGGGUGACAUGCCAUUCCCUGUGGAUCUGGAUGGAAAUUCUGGUGUCAAGGAGCACGAGGGUGUCCAGGAUUUUGCAACUGGCUGCCACGGACUGUGUUUCCAAGGAAUCUUCGAGUUAUAGCGACCUAACCAAUUUUUCCAGAGAGUCUCAGCUACCACAAUGGGCACAGCCUGAAGGACAAGGCCAAGAACAGGCUCUCACUCAGGGAUGCAACAAGGGCCCCUGGGUCUCUUCCUGGAUCAAUUGCUGAUGGAAGUUCGAGUGGAGACGCACUCCCCAGGCCCUGUACAUCUGGAAGGUGCAGGGCAGCAAAUGGAUGCAACACCUGAGCUGCC